UCAGACGAUGCGUCAUGCAUAUCAAUAAGCGGAGGAAAAGAAACUAACAAGGAUUCCCCUAGUAACGGCGAGUGAAGCGGGAAGAGCUCAAAUUUGAACUCUUAAAGGGUUUCCCUUUACGAAUUGUAGUUUAAAGAAGUGUUUUCUGUUGAGGUUUUGGUAAAAGUUCUUUGGAAUAGGACAUCAUAGAGAGUGAGAAUCCCGUAUUUGACCUUUACUUUCAACUUUGUGAUACACUUUCAAAGAGUCGGAUUGUUUGGGAAUGCAGUCCAAAAUGGGUGGUAAAUUUCAUCUAAAGCUAAAUAUUGGCGAGAGACCGAUAGCGAACAAGUACCGUGAGGGAAAGAUGAAAAGAACUUUGAAAAGAGAGCUAAACAGUACGUGAAAUUGUCAAAAGGGAAGCGUUUGACACCAGUGUUGUUUUUCUGAAAAUCAAUUAAAGAACUGUUUAUGCUAAGUUGUUUAGACUUUAUCAGCUAACUGUUUAGUUUUGAGCUUUUCUUUAAUGCACUUUUCAGUUAACAAGUCAACAUCAAUUUCUUUUGCUGUAAAAAAGCUUGAGGAAGGUGGCUUGGGAUUCGUCUUAAGUGUUUAUAGCCUCUUGCCUAUGCAGUCGGAGAGAUUGAGGUCUGCAGCGUAGAUCCUUCGGGGCUAAAUGCAUUUGUGCUAAGUUAUAGCAUUUUAUAGACAACUUGUUGACUAUGAUUUGUCUUGUAGCUUACUCGCUUAUGUUAUUUUACCUACGCUUAGGAUGUUGAAGAUGUAGCACAUCAU
rnacentral:rRNA from 1 species